AUGUGGGUCAGGGGAAAAAGAUCUAAUUACAUACCUUCAGGUCUCACCACAAGGUGUGACCGAUCUUUUUUUUUUUUUCUUUUCUUUGCAAAGCCGCACAUCUCAUUUGCAGAGAUUAAUUGUGUUGAGACUGCUGCCCCUCGUGAUCAUCCGUUUAAAGGCAAGUGUGCUGAGCUCUUCUGCCCGAUUAGUGCUGGUAAAAGCACCUCUCAGCUUAUCGCCACAUUCCGUUUUCUCCGAUAUUUGUUUCUAACCCACAAUCGCUUCUCGUAUACACUUACCAUUCUUGAUGAGGGAUGGUUGCUGCUGGAGUUCCGGAGCAUGGCAGAGCUCAAAGUGGUUUCUUGGACUUUAUCUCUGUGGAACACUGCAGGACUGAGUGCUGCUCGAGGACAUGCCUUGGGCAUUUUCUUCCCAUCUGACACCGGUCGAUGGUCAGGCUUCAAACGGAGCCCGAGAUGCAUGAGCCAGCCAUCUCGAUUGAGUUCCCUCGAUGCAUUUCGGGAUUGCUGGGAACUGUUUUUUCUUCCAUCCGGGAGCGUACCCUCAUUGUUUGAAUUCUUCUCAUGCCAUGGCAUGCAUACGGUUUUGGCUGAGUGGUGUAAUUUAACACUUCUAGGUCAUCUCUUUGACAUAUUGUUCAUUGAUGACAGUGGAAAGAAAGCCACCUGGUAGGUGAUCCAGGGAACAUCUGAUCCAACCCUUCUGUUCUGCAACUUCAACCUAUGCUUCGACAAUAAGCAGAACAGCCCAUGGGAUAAGAAAGCUAGCUAAUGCCGCCCAGUUGCAUACAAAGCAGCUGAGGACUGCACGUUGUGCAAUAACGUUCUACACGAUGUCAGAGCAGCAUACACGGCACAGUAAUAUUGCAUGCUGCACAAUAAAAUUGCAGAAUGAAUCGGCAAGGAAAAGCCUUAAAGGUUUGCUUGUAUUGUAUUGGAUUUGUAAGACUGAUCUAGUGUUGCUACGGCCUGGGUUGUAGGCCACAUUCAUUCUCAAAUGCUCAUUUAGCUUGCUUAGAGAUGCAUAAAAUGCAUCAUUUGACAUUUCGGUACACAGCUGCUAAAAUCCACGGCAUAAACUUUUGCAGCAACACAACUUGCCUUACUUUCGAGAUUCAUGCAGACAGCCACCCAAUACGCUCGCAUUUGAUGCAGCAUUUAUUUAUGCAAAUACCGUACAUAGCAAAGAGAAAAGAAAACAUCAUUGCAUAGAGAUCGAUCGAGCCUGCAACCUAGAAUACCCUUUAGGACUCUGCCUACUGAGUGACAACAAUAAAGUGUGAUCCUUCAAUGACACCGAACCUGGAAUCGUACAUUUGAACGUGAUGUGGAUCAAGGCAUCCAAUGAAAAGUUAAACAAUGCGGAAUACGUGAGAGUCAAGACCAGAUUCUGUUUGAGUCUCGGCUCUUUUAACAUGUAAAAUGGAAUUUCAAAUUAUUGUUAUUGUUGUUCUUUUUAUAUCUAUUUUAUUGCAUAAUUACAGCCAUAAUCAAUAUUCGUUUUAUUGAAUAUAUAUAUAUAUAUAUUUUUUUUUUGGGGGGGGGAAUAUAUAUAUAUAUAUAUUUUUUUUUUUACCAUUGCUUCCUUGCAUUAUUUGGUUAAGAAAUUAAUGUUAAUGGCUCGAGGGAUAUUUAUCACGUUCUGGCAUGAGAUCAACUUCAUGUCAUAAUGGGAGAUCAUAGAGGCAUUUGUAACUUGAGUGAUUCUCGUGUGGGGAGCAAUUAAGAGGGCCAGGUGGAUUACACUGCAAAAGAAGACUACGAUAACAAAGUGUCCAUCGAACAGCCGGCUCUCUGACUAAUGUGGAAUGGUAGUACAGUCGUGUCGGAUCCUCAUACACCAUUACUGCAAGGAGUAGCAUGUAAAAAACAUUACGGUGCAUGAAUGUGCCUUAUGCUUCCUGCAUGGCAAACCACCCUGUCCCUUUGUCGCUUCUGCAACUGAUAUAGCUAUUUAUUGUUUUUAAUUAAGGCCAGAUUUACACACUUUGAUUUGUGUAGUAAGUUCAUGAUCCUCCGGUUUAUGGAACCACUUGAUCUGGGCACUGUAGAUAAAUUUCCUGCGAUACCUUAAAAAGUAAUGCUUCGUGAUUUGCCUGCAUACAUCACUUUGAAUGGCCUGGGGAACACAUGCAAUUUGCUGGUUUUUGUGGCCGUAUUUUUCAAUAUAUAUGAAUGUGUUUUGUUUCUGCUCUUCCAACCUGGAAAGGUCUGUCGCCCUCGGGUUGAGCGAGAGGCAUGGGUAAGAAAAAAGGUUGCGCUUUUCAUGAUUGUGACUUGGAGUGAAGAGGAGGUAGAAUAUAAUGUAUGUUGACAAGGAAAAGGAAGUUUGGCGAAAAGCUUUUGGCUGGUGCUGGUGCAGUGGAGGUAUUUCACACAGGGAUUGGUGGAAAAGAAUGGUCCGAUCAAUCAAACGUUUCACAGAAAGAUAGGAUAAGGUGUAAGCCAAGCAAAUAAAUUUUGGGGACCAUUUUUUUUUUUUUUACAAAUAUUUGUCUGACCAUGUCACUCCAAUUAAUUGAUUGUUUUCUUUUUUUUACAGGCAAGGGAGGGUAGAUACAAGAAAGUUGUAUGACCAUUAUUGUGUCAUGUAACGUACAAGUUAAUUUCAAAGGGAUGUAAAUGUUAAGUUGGAUUAGGUGCAUGUAUGUAAGAAUAGCAUCUUAGAUUCUUUUCCCCCCC
ensembl:lincRNA